CUGGCGGCAGGCUUAACACAUGCAAGUCGAACGAUGACUAUCUAGCUUGCUAGAUAUGAUUAGUGGCGGACGGGUGAGUAACAUUUAGGAAUCUGCCUAGUAGUGGGGGAUAGCUCGGGGAAACUCGAAUUAAUACCGCAUACGACCUACGGGUGAAAGGGGGCGCAAGCUCUUGCUAUUAGAUGAGCCUAAAUCAGAUUAGCUAGUUGGUGGGGUAAAGGCCUACCAAGGCGACGAUCUGUAACUGGUCUGAGAGGAUGAUCAGUCACACCGGAACUGAGACACGGUCCGGACUCCUACGGGAGGCAGCAGUGGGGAAUAUUGGACAAUGGGGGCAACCCUGAUCCAGCCAUGCCGCGUGUGUGAAGAAGGCCUUUUGGUUGUAAAGCACUUUAAGCAGGGAGGAGAGGCUAAUGGUUAAUACCCAUUAGAUUAGACGUUACCUGCAGAAUAAGCACCGGCUAACUCUGUGCCAGCAGCCGCGGUAAUACAGAGGGUGCGAGCGUUAAUCGGAAUUACUGGGCGUAAAGCGAGUGUAGGUGGCUCAUUAAGUCACAUGUGAAAUCCCCGGGCUUAACCUGGGAACUGCAUGUGAUACUGGUGGUGCUAGAAUAUGUGAGAGGGAAGUAGAAUUCCAGGUGUAGCGGUGAAAUGCGUAGAGAUCUGGAGGAAUACCGAUGGCGAAGGCAGCUUCCUGGCAUAAUAUUGACACUGAGAUUCGAAAGCGUGGGUAGCAAACAGGAUUAGAUACCCUGGUAGUCCACGCCGUAAACGAUGUCUACUAGCCGUUGGGGUCCUUGAGACUUUAGUGGCGCAGUUAACGCGAUAAGUAGACCGCCUGGGGAGUACGGCCGCAAGGUUAAAACUCAAAUGAAUUGACGGGGGCCCGCACAAGCGGUGGAGCAUGUGGUUUAAUUCGAUGCAACGCGAAGAACCUUACCUGGUCUUGACAUAGUGAGAAUCUUUCAGAGAUGAGAGAGUGCCUUCGGGAAUUCACAUACAGGUGCUGCAUGGCUGUCGUCAGCUCGUGUCGUGAGAUGUUGGGUUAAGUCCCGCAACGAGCGCAACCCUUUUCCUUAUUUGCCAGCGGGUUAAGCCGGGAACUUUAAGGAUACUGCCAGUGACAAACUGGAGGAAGGCGGGGACGACUUCAAGUCAUCAUGGCCCUUACGACCAGGGCUACACACGUGCUACAUGGUAGGUACAGAGGGUUGCUACACAGCGAUGUGAUGCUAAUCUCAAAAAGCCUAUCGUAAUCCGGAUGGA
rnacentral:rRNA from 1 species